CGUAAGGGAAAAUAAUGAUAAUACCUUACUAAUAGUGUCGUCCAAAUCUGGUGCCAGAAGACUCGGUAAGACCAGAGACGCAAACGUUAAUAAUCUUAAACAGGCGUAAAGGGUUUGUAGGCU
rnacentral:rRNA from 1 species